GGUAGGAUGGCCGAGGUAUAGGCAAUAAAUUGUAAAUUUAUUCACGAAUUAGAUUCUCCUACCA
rnacentral:tRNA from 1 species